CUACACAGAAGACGGGCAGGUACAAUGCAAAAUUAAGAUACCCGAAGAACAGGGAUUUAUUGAAUCAGUGGCAAUAAAUCACACCACAAAAUGUAUUCUGGUUAAAACGUAUCAGCCACCGGAACGUAGUCUGCUGAGUUUCUCAGAAACGGGAGAACUAAUCGACAGUUUAUUUUUGGGAUCUAGCGAAUGGAUUAGACAUGCUGUGCUAACAUCUCACCCAAAUGGCCCAGUUGCUUUAAUCGGCUUAACAAGAGCAGCUUUACUUCAACUGUAGUAAAAUCACUUACAUGCAUAUAAAAUUAAAAUACAGCGAGAUAUAAAAACAUAUAGAUGGGACCAUGCAGGUAUGACAAAAUAUGAUACACAAAUGAUGAUCCGAAGUUACUAUCAGAAACUUAGGCCAAGUUGAAGCAAUCAAAUGUUGAACUUUUUAUGCACCGAACAGCCUAUUAAGAAUGAGCUCAGUCAACGAUUGUAACCAAACUGACUAAUAAUUCACGAAGCAAAUUCAAAAGAAAUCAAUGUUUAAUAAGGUGCUGUAUCCACAUGCACAAAAUUAUCCUGAUUUGCAUAAACUUUUUCCUCGAUCGAGACUGUUAUAAUAAUUUCUUUUUGAAUAAUUUCAUAAAGCAC
rnacentral:lncRNA from 1 species